GAAGCCUUGUCUUAAGUUGUUGUUGCCUUGUUUAUUAGUUGUGGCCAGCUUGUAUUAGGGAGAGAUUAGCAUCCUUCUUCAAGAGUUUUCUUUGAGAGAGAGAGAGAGAUAUAUAUAUAUAUAUAAUUCUGGGAUUGAAAAUCCGACGAAGCUCCGACGAUGCUCCGGCGUGGAAACUUGAUAGAGGGGACCAUUUGAGAAGUGACUUUGGGUCGUCGCAUUGUGUCAUGGAGUAGAGUAUUUUCGAUGUAUGCUCAAACAUUUAUAUUCUUCUACUCCAUUGGAUUACACCUCUUGGUUUUCACAUGUCUCUACAGAAUGUUAGCUUUAAGCUAUCUCAGCACAACAUAUGGACAUGAGGAAAGCUUUGUCGACGCCAGUAGCCACACACUACGUCAUUGACAUUUGGAAACCUGGUUCUUGGAGUGCACAUUCUACAGUCCCUGAAUACAAUGUGAUUGCAAUUAACAAGUAGGAAGGAUGCAUCAUAUCAGCCACUGGUGAUGCAUGCGCUUACUGCUAGAAUGUGGUAUGUAUAUUUUUGAGGUAAAUAUAUUAUAUUAUUAAUGAUGUAUUGAAGUAUUAAACAAAUUGCUUAUGCCAGGUGCAUCACCACAACAUGAUUGAGAAUGGAAAGAGAAAAAUGGUCUUUAGGGGUCAUUCAGACUAUUUGCAUUGUGUAGUUGCUCGUGAAUCAAGUAAUCAGGUUAUUCUUGUUUUCCAAAAUUUUUUUUCCUGUAAUGAAGUUUUGUCUAAUAUUGAAGUAAUUAUCUUUGGAAUUUCAUUUCCAUGUAGCCAUUUUUCAGGAGCAAUCACAUGAUUCAACUUUUGCUAUACCUGGCAUGUUAUCUGCCACUUGAUCUUUCCUAAUGGACUCUACAUGCCAUCAUUUUUCUCCUGAGGCACUAUUCGGUAGUUUGAUUGAUCUUUUUGCAAUCAAUAUGUUCAUCAAUCUUCCUUUUCUCAAACAUGAUCAUGUUCUUCUACUCACAUUUUUUGUGGUCACCCUUGUGUUCUAACAAAAUUCUCUUGUCGAUCAAUCUUCCA